CCUUUUGCUUUCUUCUGUGUAUUUUUAAUGGGUCCUUGAUGCUCUUUUGUUUUAUUUUUUUUUAUCAUUAUCACUGCCCCCAAUAAUUAAAGUCUUUGACUAAAUCCCUGAACCCUUUGAAUUCUUCAGUCUCCCAAAUCCUCACCCUUCCCAACUCCCUUGACCUCUGCCUCUAAUCUACUUCAAGCAUUCACAGGAGUAGUAAUAGUAAUAGUAGUAAUCACCACCUGCCUCCAUUUCCUCUAUCACCACAGUUCUACUAGGCUGAUCAAUUGAAUUUGGCUUAGAUUCUGAAAUUGUUCAUUAUGCAUCUGCCCACACUCCUUCAUGGUCUCACACCAAAGAAGGUAAAUGUGACAGGAUCAUGAAGUUGGAGCUUCCGUAAAUGGAUAUUUGCCUACUCAAAAACAAGAGACAAGAAGGGAGAAAAUGGAAAAAGAAGGUCUAUCUUUUUCAAUGAAUCUUGAAUGUACCAAAGAAAGAUUCAACUUUAAUAUCCAAUUAAAUGUAUGUGGAGUAAUCAUGAAAUUCAUAAAAGAAAUUAUUAAAUGUAUUAAAGUGCUGCUUUCACUUAUUAUAUGAAGGAAAAAAAAGACAUCCGUUCCACAGCAAAGGCUUUAAGACCUUGGAAAAUGUAUGGAAUAUUAGUGGUUUCUCUUCGAUGUGGCACUAUAAACUAACGCAUAUAUCUAAAUUUCACCCUUGAAUUCUGUCUCUGUUCAUGUGAGCUUUUCCUAACUUUUGUCAUUUCAAAGGGAUUUCUCCCAUUUCUGAACUCCUUUACUAGUCAGACCCUUCAGGACUCAUCUGACAGUGCAGAUAAUCUUUUCAAAUGUGCCUCACUAGUUCAGGUCGAUUAUAAACUCAGAGGAUGCCAGUGUCCUGCCUAAACCCCUAGAUACUUGUCUGGCCCCGCCCCACUCCACUCCACCCUCGGGGUUUAUUGAAUCUGAAAGGACUUCUCCGAGCUCUUGGCCAGAAUGACCUUCGGCGUGCUUACACUUGAAUCCCUGGACAGCCCUGCUAUGGGCCUGUAUUGGAGGGGGCAGCUAAAAGAGACUUGGAGGGGAGUCCGGACCGUCGGACUCUACGGGAGGCCAAACGAGUGCACAGCCACAGCGCGACCUAAAGGAAGAAGAGGCCCAAAUUGGUCCAAACCGAGGACCUUGCCCAUGUCCUAGGGCGGACCAGGACCUCGCGCGCCUGCCCAGGGCUCUUUCCCUCCCACGCCUACUCCUUCUCACACCCCUCCCCCUUCGCUAGCGGUUCAACCGCCCGCCGAGCCCCGCCCUCUCCAGGUUGCUUCCACCCUUCCCCCUCCCGCUCUCGUUCCAAGCAGGCGCAUUAGAACGCAAGGCUCCGAAUCCGGCCAAGAGGGGCUGCGGCUGGAAAGACUGUGGAGCACCAGAGUGCGGGCUUCCGGGGGCGUCUCCCGGUGCUGUGGCUUCCUCAGGUUGGGAAAAGCCCCUCGCUGAAGAUGGUUUUUAAACACCAGUUUCCCCAACAAAUUUUCUUGAAUCUUGCGUUUUUCUUCUUUGAUGUUUUUUAAUCCUGGAUUCACUGAAUACAGGACUAAAUUCAUACUAAGAUAUGAAUGACUAAUGGACCCUCUUAGCCUUCCCAGGAUAAUCUGUAUGUUUUUUAAAGGAUACAGUAAUCUAAAUGAAUCCCAUAAUCUCCAAAAUUGAUGACAAUGACAUUAUUGAGGAAUUUUAGGAGUAAAGGAGGUAUUUAGGAGCUUGUGAGACCAUGCUGGAUCCUGCUUGGGAAGCAGGGAAGCCAGUAGACUUGCCUAGGUCUUCUUAGGCUAUAAGGAAUCAAGAAUUUUUCAGAGGAGUCUCGGUUUUUCUGUCCCCAUCCAAUCUCAGAAAACCCAAUUCUCAGUUUUUCUAGCAUCCAUGUACUCUGCUUCCCUCCAGGUGGAUAAAGCUUGUCCAUCAGUGAUUCUAAUUUCAAUCUAUUAGUUUAUCUGCAACUCUGGAGAUACAGACAAAAAGAGCUGUUGGGGUCUUUCUGGGACUUAAAGGAGCUUUAAAAAAAAGAAUUCAAUAAGUCAGUGUUGAAAGGAAUAGAUUCUUUUAUAUCAUGUCUAAAGGAAGGCCUUGUGACUUAACUGGAGACAUCCAAAGUAUGGAUCACCUAGGGGCUGCAGGGAUAACAAAGGAAGAUUAUAACAGCAUCCAUUCCCAAAACUGGGCCAGAAGAUGACAUUUCCAAAAUUAGGGCAGUACACUGACCUCUCUCCCUGAAUUCCUAUAGCCAUUCCUGGGGCUCAGACUCACACCUCCAUGCAGGAAAGGGGGGUGAGGGAUAGGGGCAACUGAGGAUGUUCCCGGACAACCUUGGAUAUGAUAAUCAUCCAGAUAUAGAAAGAGGUGUGAGUCCUCCAUUGUUUUACAAGAGGCAGCUUCCAGCUUUUAAACCAUCUUUACACCAAGCUCUUACCAGUUCCAUGGGUGGAAUUCCUAGAUCCAUCUUCAAUCUGUGCCUCAGUGCAUCUCAGUCAAGCUGAACAGGGCCAGGUAUUUUUGACAGGGAGGAUCCCACUUAGGCAGUCUGAUUUGGUUUCCCCCUUCCAGUUAACCAGGAGGUGAUAAUUGUCUGAGGAGCUGGAAGUUUCCAGUUUAUAAAACUUUGGACAUGAAAGACUCAAAAUACUCAGGAAAGUUUAAGAGGAAUUUCCUGGACCAAAAAUCAAAGAGACUUUUGGUAGACUAGAAUAUGGGCACAUAAAUAUGUAUCUAUUUCCCAGAAUUCCCCAGGGUUUUGAAGCUUUUGAGAGAAAUUUCUUCCAAGAAGCCACAUAACAGAUUUAGAAAGAGUAAAUAGCAAUGUACAUGCUUCAAUUGAGUCAGCAAAAAGCUGGGGAUGGAGCACUGUCCCCUUCAAUGAAAAGCAGGAGCUGAGACCUCCUUACUGACCUGGCCCAAGCAGACUGGGGCCAGCCAGACUGGGGAGGAGAACACAUUGAACCCAAUCUGCAGCCUACAGUUAGAACAGUGAACAAAAGUCCAGUCCACAGAUCAUCUGUCCUUCUCUCUUCCCUGGAGCUCAAUGUGAGAGAAGCUCUCCUCUUUUAUUUCCACUGUCCCUUUACUUCCUGUAUUUCCCUCAGAAGAGUAGGAAGAAGAACUAAAUUCAGGAGGAAAGGAAAAACUGAACUCUAAUUGCAAAUUAUAUCAGCCUACUAUACUUUGUUAUAUUGUCUCUCUUUAUCUUCUGUUAUUUGGUACUGCUAAGAAAGUGCAUGGCCAUUAACUUUGGUUUGUCUGAUCCUGUGAGUCUGGGAUUUGAGAAUGAGAGUGGGUAUCAGCCCAUAGGAAAAUGAAAAAACUAGGGGCUGAGUCAGAGAGAGGUUUGCAUUUAGGAGUAAUUUUUUACAUAUUCCAGAACAUAUCUGUUAGACUGUCUGAAUCUAGAGAGAGCAUUCAUACUUAGAUAAGCUUGUAAAUAGUGUAGAGUGAUGUGGUUGUUUUUGAUUGUUCUUUAAGAUAUGACCUUUACAGCCCAGAAUCAGUAGUUGUAGUCAGAGAUCAUCCCUGCAUUUCACCAGAAAAGGGGCAGGAUGACAUUUUAGGCAGGAAGAGAAAGAUAUGUCCAAAUCAGACACAACCUUUCACCAAAAAGACUAGUCCCCAAAAUAAGAAUCUAUAAUUUUUCUGAACUAUAAUAAAGGUAUAGCAUUUGAUCUGCAAAUGGCAUAUCACCCCUUCCUCCAUUCUUAGUCACUGAAAAAGCUUGAGUUUUCAUAUCCACUGAUUAGAUAAUAGCAAUUCUCUCACUUCCACCCCAAAAUAGUGUCAAUUCAAACUCAAUGCUAGACCUGUAGCCCCCCUCCUUAGAGGUUAGGUGUGGCCAUUUUUCUAGGACUGGUCAACAACUAUUUUUAAAUUUCACUUUAAUUUUAUUUUAAUUUCCAAAUUCUGCCCCUGAAAAAGUGCGAAAAACAAAGCCCAUUACAAACAUGUAUAGUCACGCAAAACAUUCCUACAUUAACUAUGUCUAAAAAAGAAAAGAAAGUAUGCUUUGAAAUAUUCUCCGAGUUCAUCUCUUCUCUAUCAGGAAAUGGAUAGCAUGUUUCCUCAAGAGUCCUUUGUAAAUGUAGUUGGUCAUUAUUCAAAAAGCUACUGUUAAGUACCAACCCAUGAGUACUAGGCAUUAUGUUAAACAAUAGAAAGACAUGAAGAGCCUCCAACAUCAAGGAAUUCAGAGUGUAAUGAGAGAAACAACAUACAAGAACCAUGUACAGACAAGAUAUAUGCACAACAAAUUGAUGAUAAUCAGGAAGGGAAGGUACUAACAUUAAGGUGGAAUGGGAAAGUGUUCUUGCAGAAAGCAGGAUUUUAGCUGACUUAAAGGAAACCAGAGAAUCUGCUAGGUGGAGGUAAGGAGGGAGAGAGUAAAAAUAUCUGGAGGCAGGAGAUGGAGGAAUAAAGUAGAAAAUAGGAAUGACCCAGGUUACAAAGGGCUCUCAAUACCAAAUAGGGGGGUUUAUAUUUGAUUUUUUUUUUUUUUAGAACAAAAGGGAACCACUGGAGUUUUAUUGAACAGGAGAAUGACAAGUCAGACCUAGAAUUUAGAAAGAUCAUUUUGAUAGCAGAAUGGAAGAUAGACUAGAGUGAAGAGAGAUUUUUAGACCAGGGGCCCACCAGAAGGCUAUUUAGACAUUCCAGGUGUGAAUUGAUGGUGACCUGUACCAGGAUGAGGGCAGUAUCAUAGUAGGGAAAGGGGCAUAAGGGAGAGAUGUUGCAAAGGGAGAAUUAUUAGGACAUAUCAACUGAUCAUAGAACAAAGGAUAAAAGAGUAAUGAGUAGAGGCUAACAACUAGAUUGAGAUUCUGGGUAACUGGGAGAAUGAAAGUGCCCUGCACAGGAAAAGGGAGGUUAGGAAGAGGGGAGAAUUUGAGGCAAAAGGUAAUGAGUUUAAUUUUAAACAGGCUAAAUUUAAGAUGUCUUUAAGACAUCUAGUUCAAAAUGUCCUAUAAGCAACUCAAAAUAUAAAAUUUGGGGGGAGGGGCAGCUGGAUGGUUCAGUGGAUUGAGAACCAGGCCCAGAGACUGGAGGUCCUGGGUUCAAAUAUUGUCUCAGACACUUCACAGCUGUGUGACCCUGGGAAAAUCACUUAACCCCCAUUGCCUAGCCCUUACCACUCUUCUGCCUUAGUACCAAUACCCAGUAUUGAUUCUAAGAUGGAAGGUAAAGGUUUAAUAUAUAUAUAAAAUUUGGGGUCAGCAGAGGGUUAGGACUGGAUAGGUUAAUCUAGAUUCAUUAGCAUAGAGAUGAUAAUUAAAUCCAUGAGAACUAAUGAAAUAAAAAAGUGAAAAGGUAUCAAAGAAGAAAAAGAGCUUAGGACAGAGCCCAGUGAAACUCUCAAGAUUAGCAAGGGUGACUUGAAUAAUAUCCAUCAAGGGUCAAAAGAGACUGAGAAGGAGCUAUUAGACAGGUAAUAAAAGCAGUUACUAGAAUCUAGAGAGGAAAAAAUAAAGAGAAGAGGGUAAUAAUUGACAGUUGGCUGUGGAAAAGUCAAGAAAGUUGAUGAUUAAGAAAAAGCCUUUAGUUUUGACAAUUCAAAGAUCUUGGUAGCUCUAGAGAGAAUAGUGUCAAAUGAAUGAUGAUCAGGUUAGAGAGACUGUAGAAAGUAAAGAGUGAGAGAAAGGGAAGUAGAGGUAUUCUUUGUGGAUAGUCUCAAGGAAAUUAGCCAUUAAAGGGAGAGAAAGGAGAUAAUAACUAGGAAAAAUACUGAGAUAAAAUGAGGGUUUUUUGACAAUAAGGAGACAUGGGGCAUGUUUAUAGGCAGUGGGGAAGUAGCCAAUAAAUAGGGAAAGAUUGAAGUUAAGUGAAAAACUGAGGAUGAUAGAAGAGGCAAUCUACCAGAGAAGAAGGGAUUGAACAAAAUAAUUUGCACAUGUAAAGGUGUUUGCCUUGACAAGUAAAAGGACACUUCUUAAUGUGAGAUGGGUGAAAGAUGAAAUAUUGGGAGAAGGCAUCUUCUCUCCAUUAGGAAGAGAAUAAAAGAAGAGAUUCUCAGAAAAUGGUAGAAAUCUUUAGAAAGAUUUGUGCCCAUACAAAUUAUCUAGCAUGCUAUAAAGCCUGUUUGUUUUUAUCCCCAAACCAUCAGAUAUGGUAUCCCCAUUACCUUCAAUUUAUAAUUUCCUAGAUGACUAUCAAUUCAGGCCCAGAUGGCCCUGUAGUACCUGAUACUUUACAUAAGGUCUUCCACAUCCCCCUUGUUGAAUAACUGAAUCAAUCUGAAAAUGUUCAAUUUCAUACUUUUAUUCUCCUCAACAAAUUACUGAGCUUCAGGGGUUAGGGGCAGCUAUGUGGUUUAGUGGAUUGAAAGCUAGACCUCAAGACAGGAGGUCUUGGAUUCAAAUGUGACUUCAGACCCUUCCUAGCUUGCUCUGUUAUCCAGGGCAAAUAAUGUAACCUCCAUUGCUCAGCUCUGACUGCUCCUCUGCCUUGGAACUACUAACAAUAUUGAUUCUAAGAUGGAAGGUAAGAAUUUAAAAAAUGUUUGCUGUGCUUGAAGAUUCCAAAGUAUUGUUCUGGAAGCAAAGGUAACAAAUAAUAUCUUGCCCCUUACAAUUACCAAACUGUAACUCUUGAAAAGGAAAGUGAAUCUCUAACACAUUUUAGAGAUAGGACUUUUCCUAUACAAAAAAAAGUAGGGUGGUCAUCUUCAGAAUUGUCAUACUAUCACAUCAUUCCUAUCUGGAUACAGAUUUGAAAACUAUAAACAUCUCAUUCCCAUCUCCAUCUAGUCAUUUUUUAAAAAUCCUCUUAAAAAUUUCUUUGGAUAUGCUAAGUAUUGAGCACAGGUCUCUUUUCCAGUCUUUUAAUACAGACACUUGGUUAUCACAUAAUCAUUCAUUUGGAAAGGCAUUCAUUGGCCAGCGAUAAAAGAACUGAAACAGGCAGGGGAAAUAAGAAAACUUUGUUCCUGAUCCUCCAUGGUACUUUGGACAAUGAAAUCCAUGUGAAGAUAAUGUCUCCCAUCUCUUUAAAGAGAUCAAAACUUCUCCCUGAAUCUUUCUAUGUGGCAGCACAGAGAAGGUGGAAGCCUGUUUUUUGGUUUGGUUUGUUUUUUUUGCAUUAAUCACACAGGUAUGCAUACAUAGAAUUGAAGAGGAGAGGACACAAUCAGUACACAAACAAUGUGAGUUUUAACAAGCAACACAGAGAGCCUCCUAUCUCUUCCCUACUUUUUCUUAGGGUGGAGUAUCAUUGAAUAUUUUAAAAAUAUACUUGCGAAUAAAUCUAAGAACUAGAAGUAGAAAACAGUUUGAUGAAGAUCAACAGAAGCAGAAACAGGAUUGAUUCUGCCAUUGGAAGAUAGUCUACCUAAACGGAAAGAGGAAAUAGAUAAGGAAUCUGAAAAACAGAUCACAAACGUUGCACAUAAUGAUAUGUUAGUUCUAGGGGACUUCUGGUAUCUGGGUAUCUGGUGGAACAGCUCUCUUCCCAAAGCAGAGUAGUGAAUUUCUUUUACUUUGAUUAUUUGAUUCUUCAAAUGGUGGGAGAAUGGAUGAGUGGAACUUAUAUUCUCAUCUGACACUAAUCAAAAGGAAGAAUUGGCUACUGGAGUGGAAAUGCUAGGAAUAUUGGGGAGAAAUGACCACUAUAUCUUGUAGUUUGUGAUAGAAGGGAGGAAAACAAGGCAUAAUCUUAUAUGCAUAAGAUCCAAACUAAGAUGCUAGCUGAGUAGAAAAAAAAGGGUCAGAUACUGAGAUAGAAAUGAUGCGAUUUGGUAAGUGAUUGGGUAUGCAGGAAGAAGGAGAAUGAGUUGUCAGAGAUAAUGCCAAGGUUAUGAUCGCGGGUCACCUUCAUGAUAUGUAUGACUAGGCAUUUGAAGGGGUCCUUUAUAGAGGUCUCAUCUUGGCAACAGUUGGCCAUAAACAAGGCAUCAACCCAUCAAUUAGGGCAUGAAGUGUUUUGUGAUCCAUAGAAAUGAAGGAAGUUUCAAAAUCACAGGCCUUUUGAAGUAGAUGUAGACCAGUUAAUGCAAAAAAGAGGUACAAUUAUUCUCCAGCAGAAAUUUGUGGGUUAUGAGAGAUUUGAGAACUGUUUCUGAACACGGUCCUUGCUCCUGGAAUGGGCUCUGGGGCACAUUGCCCUGGCACCUUGGGCCAGCCUUUGUUUCACAGAGCUUCUCCUCUCUCCUCUCACUCUUGCAGGUUGGGAGGUGGAGAAGGAUAAAGGCUGUUUGAGCAGUUUCACUUUUGAUACAUUUGAUGUUGCCCUUAUACAUUAUAUAGAACCCUGAGAUAAAUGCCUAAGGAGAGGUGCUUUUUAUAAAGAUAAAUACAGCAGUCCUCGGUAUCUGCGGUCUGAAGAAAGACGUUCAAUAUUGGGUAUUAUAGUUUAUUUUAGUAUUUAUUAUAUAUAAGUAUUUAUUUUACCCCUUAGGAACAUGUGAUCCAAGCUUUUGCUUUUGAAGUUAAUUAAAAUGUUGAAUGUUGGUGUUUCCAUGAAUUUCGGAUAACUUGAUUUAGAUGUUUCUUCCUAGUAUGUGAUUUUUCUUCUAGCUGCAUUAUACCAGAUGAACUCUUUAAAUGACAUGCCUUUUUAAAACUGCAAAGAAAAAAAAGAGACCGAGCCUGUCUGACACUUAAUCUCUACCCU